ensembl:lncRNA
GCCAGAGCAGGUGUGCCAAGCUACCAUGGAUUGUGCCUGUACUGUUGGUGCCCAGGAUGGGAUGGCUGUGGAGGCAGAGCUGGCUGAGCCCAUUAGCAAAUCUGCUUUCCCUGGUAGGAUCCUUUGUGCCUGGAGGUGCCUCCCAGACUGCUCUCCCGGGGACCUGCAGAGGCAACCUGCCCUUCGGUGUCUGCUGGAGGAACAAGGGGAGAGAGGGAAGAAGAGAUCACACCAUCUGUUGGAUCCAUAUAUUACAACAUUUGCUUCCUGAGUCACAUCUGUGCCAUGCACACAUUGGAGAAACAAGGAGAACACCCCUGUGUACCAUCAAAGUGGAGAAAACCAGACUAAUUCUUCAUGCUGGAAGCCCUCUGAGCAGAAGGCUGAAAGAGCUGUGUGUGAAUGGUCCAAAUUACACCCUCACCACUGGUGUAAGGCUGAUGAAGGCUGGAACAGGGAAGGCAGAAGGGAGACGUGAGGUCUGUCUGCUGAUAUAUGAAGGAAUAUGUUGUGAAGAGAAGAGACCAAUUAUUCUUACUAGCCAACAGGAGAAAUGCAGAGAAUAUUUAGGUCAAGCAUUAGGAGAAAGUUUCUAGCAGGUGUGUUAUUAAUCAGCUAUAAGGCAAGGCACACUUUGGAAAACCAGCCCAGCACUUUGGGUACCAAAUGAGUGUUGUAUGUCUGGAAGAACAGGGAAGUGGGAUGUCGAGGUGUAAGGCUUAAAUCCUGUCCCUGCUUCUGACACUGAGUCAUAGCAGUCCUGUGGAGGGGUACCAUUUUCAGUCCCUUCAGGCAAGUCUAAGCUCUCCACAGCCUAAAUAGGUCUGCUACCCCUAAGGACAGACAUAUAUGUGUAAAGACAUGAGCAAUAUGAAUGUCAGGAACUGCUCACCCAUUGGCUUGGAAUGCUCCUAGAUCAGAUACAGCUGUGCCCACAUUUGGGGUUGUCUCCACUGAGAGAUUACUUGUGGUUCUAGGGAGAGAUGACAUUCAUUUCUCUGUUCACUAGAUGAAAAUGGGUAAAAAUGCCAAAAAAAACCCCUAUUCUUGGAGAAAUUCUAAGUGACCGAAAACCAGUUUUUCAUCUCUGGAAAGUCUAAGAUUUUAAAAAUUUUGUCACAUGACCUGAGGAAAAAUGGAGGAGAAAGUUAUACUAUUGGAAACAUCUACAAAGAGUCUAAAACUGUUUUACUUCCAACUUACCAAGGCAUUUAGCUUCCUCUUUGUGUUAUAUUCAUAUAAUGCAAUAUCAACCUAUUUUUUUCCCCAGCCUUAUCCAAAUGAGAUUCUGUCAUGAAAUUUUUCCUUGAAGAUUUCAGUGCAAUUGGUACUUUUCUGCAAAAUAUGCCAUUUUGGUUCAAUUUGAAUUUUCUCCCAGAAAAUGUUUCUUUCAAAAAUUUUGGGCCAGUGCUGAUUACCAUUAUGCAGCUGCUGCUCCUGCAGCAGAUCCUUUCAAACAUAGCCAGUGAGCAUGCUGGUUUGUAGCCUGUACUAUGUUGCACCAAACAACAUAGCAAAACCACCCUUUAGCUGCAACUGGGAUGGACUGGCGAUGUUGCAGGUGUAACUUAUCAGUUGCUCUCACCAUGAUACCACACUUGUUUCUAUAUCUGGAGUGUGAGGAGGGUGAGCACCAUGAUG